CCGAGUUCCGACUAGCUUCUGGUUAUAGGUUUUGGGCCGAAAAUUGGAUCGGUCUACCCGGGCUCAGUAUGGUUAUAAACCCGGGUACCGAGUUUAAAAUUGGCACCUGGUUUCCAUUAAAAAAAUGCAAAACACAGUAAACACCCCCCAAAGAUCGAUCUGACUCUCUCUCUCAUCUAAACCCCAGCUCCCGCCGCCCAUUCUCUCUUGUGUCAAUACCCUCUCUCCUGCCGCUCAGCUUUCUUCUUCUUUUUUGCCUCAUUUUCUCUCUCUCUCUCUCUCUCACACACACGCGCGCGCGUCUAAACCCUACCCUAGCUCACGUCAAAACCCUCCUCCUUCUCUCCAUCUUAUCAUUAUCUUCCUCCUCCUUCUCUCCAUCUUCUCAUUCUCUUCCUCCUUCUUCUCACAUCUUUCUAGCUUUCUUCUCGCAAGCCUAUGGCCAGGUUUCUAUGUUCCACAGCCAUGGUUUGGUCGUUCGUCGCUUUGUGAGAUCCUUGAUGGUUAGCCUUCAAGAACCACCAUGGCCACAUCAAGACGUGGCUUUGGGUUCUUUUUACUUUUUUUGUUCUGUAUCUACUCUUAGAUUUGAUCCCAUAAUUCACAUUUUAUUUUCUAUUUAUUUGUAGAUCUUAGAAUCCUUAAUGUGAUUUGAUAUCUGAGUGUACGACAUUUGCUAUCUCUUUUCUUCAAGGCGUCAGUUAUAGUAACUAGCGAUUAGAUCUUAAAUAAUGUGCAAACUAUUUUCUGAGUUUUUGAAUAUGAGGUCAAGAAGGCUUUCAGACAAUUUGCUUUACAGGUGGGGUGGUGUUCAAAAUUGGCAACCUAUCUACUCAAUAUGUUUGGGCUUUUGUUGGUUUAUUAGUGACGGAAAUGAUCACUUCAAGCAUCACUUUGGAAGACCAUGCUACUAUUUUGUAACAAAUAUCUUUGCAAUUUUGUGUUUUGUUAUGUAAUGUAUAACUAUCAAAUAAUGUAACAUAUAGUGGAUUGCAUUGUGUGUUGCAUUUUAAAUGAUGAAUAUUGGAUUUUUUUCUUUUUUUGUUUUA